rnacentral:rRNA from 2 species
UUAAGCGACUAAGCGUACACGGUGGAUGCCCUGGCAGUCAGAGGCGAUGAAGGACGUGCUAAUCUGCGAUAAGCGUCGGUAAGGUGAUAUGAACCGUUAUAACCGGCGAUUUCCGAAUGGGGAAACCCAGUGUGAUUCGUCACACUAUCAUUAACUGAAUCCAUAGGUUAAUGAGGCGAACCGGGGGAACUGAAACAUCUAAGUACCCCGAGGAAAAGAAAUCAACCGAGAUUCCCCCAGUAGCGGCGAGCGAACGGGGAGCAGCCCAGAGCCUGAAUCAGUGUGUGUGUUAGUGGAAGCGUCUGGAAAGGCGCGCGAUACAGGGUGACAGCCCCGUACACAAAAAUGCACAUACUGUGAGCUCGAUGAGUAGGGCGGGACACGUGGUAUCCUGUCUGAAUAUGGGGGGACCAUCCUCCAAGGCUAAAUACUCCUGACUGACCGAUAGUGAACCAGUACCGUGAGGGAAAGGCGAAAAGAACCCCGGCGAGGGGAGUGAAAAAGAACCUGAAACCGUGUACGUACAAGCAGUGGGAGCACGCUUAGGCGUGUGACUGCGUACCUUUUGUAUAAUGGGUCAGCGACUUAUAUUCUGUAGCAAGGUUAACCGAAUAGGGGAGCCGAAGGGAAACCGAGUCUUAACUGGGCGUUAAGUUGCAGGGUAUAGACCCGAAACCCGGUGAUCUAGCCAUGGGCAGGUUGAAGGUUGGGUAACACUAACUGGAGGACCGAACCGACUAAUGUUGAAAAAUUAGCGGAUGACUUGUGGCUGGGGGUGAAAGGCCAAUCAAACCGGGAGAUAGCUGGUUCUCCCCGAAAGCUAUUUAGGUAGCGCCUCGUGAAUUCAUCUCCGGGGGUAGAGCACUGUUUCGGCAAGGGGGUCAUCCCGACUUACCAACCCGAUGCAAACUGCGAAUACCGGAGAAUGUUAUCACGGGAGACACACGGCGGGUGCUAACGUCCGUCGUGAAGAGGGAAACAACCCAGACCGCCAGCUAAGGUCCCAAAGUCAUGGUUAAGUGGGAAACGAUGUGGGAAGGCCCAGACAGCCAGGAUGUUGGCUUAGAAGCAGCCAUCAUUUAAAGAAAGCGUAAUAGCUCACUGGUCGAGUCGGCCUGCGCGGAAGAUGUAACGGGGCUAAACCAUGCACCGAAGCUGCGGCAGCGACGCUUAUGCGUUGUUGGGUAGGGGAGCGUUCUGUAAGCCUGCGAAGGUGUGCUGUGAGGCAUGCUGGAGGUAUCAGAAGUGCGAAUGCUGACAUAAGUAACGAUAAAGCGGGUGAAAAGCCCGCUCGCCGGAAGACCAAGGGUUCCUGUCCAACGUUAAUCGGGGCAGGGUGAGUCGACCCCUAAGGCGAGGCCGAAAGGCGUAGUCGAUGGGAAACAGGUUAAUAUUCCUGUACUUGGUGUUACUGCGAAGGGGGGACGGAGAAGGCUAUGUUGGCCGGGCGACGGUUGUCCCGGUUUAAGCGUGUAGGCUGGUUUUCCAGGCAAAUCCGGAAAAUCAAGGCUGAGGCGUGAUGACGAGGCACUACGGUGCUGAAGCAACAAAUGCCCUGCUUCCAGGAAAAGCCUCUAAGCAUCAGGUAACAUCAAAUCGUACCCCAAACCGACACAGGUGGUCAGGUAGAGAAUACCAAGGCGCUUGAGAGAACUCGGGUGAAGGAACUAGGCAAAAUGGUGCCGUAACUUCGGGAGAAGGCACGCUGAUAUGUAGGUGAAGUCCCUCGCGGAUGGAGCUGAAAUCAGUCGAAGAUACCAGCUGGCUGCAACUGUUUAUUAAAAACACAGCACUGUGCAAACACGAAAGUGGACGUAUACGGUGUGACGCCUGCCCGGUGCCGGAAGGUUAAUUGAUGGGGUCAGCGCAAGCGAAGCUCUUGAUCGAAGCCCCGGUAAACGGCGGCCGUAACUAUAACGGUCCUAAGGUAGCGAAAUUCCUUGUCGGGUAAGUUCCGACCUGCACGAAUGGCGUAAUGAUGGCCAGGCUGUCUCCACCCGAGACUCAGUGAAAUUGAACUCGCUGUGAAGAUGCAGUGUACCCGCGGCAAGACGGAAAGACCCCGUGAACCUUUACUAUAGCUUGACACUGAACAUUGAGCCUUGAUGUGUAGGAUAGGUGGGAGGCUUUGAAGUGUGGACGCCAGUCUGCAUGGAGCCGACCUUGAAAUACCACCCUUUAAUGUUUGAUGUUCUAACGUUGACCCGUGAUCCGGGUUGCGGACAGUGUCUGGUGGGUAGUUUGACUGGGGCGGUCUCCUCCUAAAGAGUAACGGAGGAGCACGAAGGUUGGCUAAUCCUGGUCGGACAUCAGGAGGUUAGUGCAAUGGCAUAAGCCAGCUUGACUGCGAGCGUGACGGCGCGAGCAGGUGCGAAAGCAGGUCAUAGUGAUCCGGUGGUUCUGAAUGGAAGGGCCAUCGCUCAACGGAUAAAAGGUACUCCGGGGAUAACAGGCUGAUACCGCCCAAGAGUUCAUAUCGACGGCGGUGUUUGGCACCUCGAUGUCGGCUCAUCACAUCCUGGGGCUGAAGUAGGUCCCAAGGGUAUGGCUGUUCGCCAUUUAAAGUGGUACGCGAGCUGGGUUUAGAACGUCGUGAGACAGUUCGGUCCCUAUCUGCCGUGGGCGCUGGAGAACUGAGGGGGGCUGCUCCUAGUACGAGAGGACCGGAGUGGACGCAUCACUGGUGUUCGGGUUGUCAUGCCAAUGGCACUGCCCGGUAGCUAAAUGCGGAAGAGAUAAGUGCUGAAAGCAUCUAAGCACGAAACUUGCCCCGAGAUGAGUUCUCCCUGACUCCUUGAGAGUCCUGAAGGAACGUUGAAGACGACGACGUUGAUAGGCCGGGUGUGUAAGCGCAGCGAUGCGUUGAGCUAACCGGUACUAAUGAACCGUGAGGCUUAACCUU